GAGAAGUGAAAGGGGAAUGGACAAAAUGGGAAACACAGAGCCUCUCUCAAAAGCUACAAAAGACCUGGACAUGCUUUUGAGACUUUCAUCCAUUUUAGACUCUCUAGUGGAAAUCAUUUUGACUCACGCCACUGUUUCUGUUUUUUCUUCUUCGACCUUCUUUCCUUCUCCACUUACCUGAACAAUUUUACCGGUCUCUCUUUUUCUCUGUUUUUUUUUUCCUUCUCUGGUAAGCAACAUCAGAGCUACUGUAUAGUUCUGUUUUUCUUGUUUUCUGGGUUCUUCUUCUUUGUGUGUGCGUUUGUUUUACCGAGGAAGGAAAAUCUUGGAACCCGCUGCAACCCAUUUCUUGUCGUGCAAUUUCUUAGCAUCCAAACUUGGUGACUUCGUUGUCAAGCCCUUGAUUUUUGUUUGGGUGUCUGCUUCUUUGUUUUUACAUGUCUUUUGAAAGCAUGAGUGGAACUUUUCUGGUCCUUUUCUAGUCUAUUUAUUGGGAUUUGAUAUUUUGUGCUUUUUUGUUAUAUAGUUUUGUUUUAGACUGUGGAUUAAACAUUUAUUCAGAGUAUUGUGGAUUUUGAUUCUGCUUCAUGUCGUCUCCUCUUUUUGGUUGCCCAGAAAAGUAGAGGAAAGUGAAAUGGGUAGAAAUUCAAAGUUCUGUAUUUUCUUCUCCCUUAGAUCCUGCUGUACAGCAGGAGAAAUUAAAAAAAAAAAAAAGACACAGAAAAGAAAGCAAACCCAUAUAAUCAAAGUUGGCUGAGAUGAUAGUAUUUUACAAAAGAAUAAAAGAAAUAAGCAUUCUAUUAUUCUGUUUUUCUUCUUCGAAAUUUCUCGGCAAACAAACAGAGCGGUGUUUUCUUCUUUUUCAUCACUGUUUGUGGUGUUAUUUUGUUAUCAGUCUCAUCAUUACUGUAACACACUUAUAAGGCAUGUUGACUCUAAAGGGGUCUCUUCAGUUUUUGUCCAUCCAUCAGCAGAAUAGUGGGUUUUGUCUCUGAAUCGAGUUGGGUUAUUAUCAACUGUUUGAACACUUGUUAUUGUAUUGUAAUUCUUGAUGUUACUGCCUACAUGUUGUUUGUAUUAUUGCUUUUUUUACACACAGCAUUUGCUAUUCUUUGACUAUCAAAAAAUUAGAAGUGAAUUUGGCUUUUGGCUACAAGUGGUAAGGCUUUCUAUUUGUGAAUUUUGUUAGGCUUUUGCACUUUCUGCAUACUGUCUGCAAUUCUUGUUCUCUGCUGAUGGAAUCUUGGCGCUACUCUGCUGAAGGUAAAGGCCUUCUGUUCUCAGAUGAAAUAGAUUUAUCAGUUGAUUCAUUUGGGAGAAGUAGAAAAGCAUUCACCGGAUGGGAUGGGGAUUCUGUUGAGAACAUGGAGUUUAUAGAUUUGGGUUUCUCUGAAAUGCCCAGAAAGCCAUUUAAUGGUAGUAACACGGGUAUGGGGAUACUUGGUGGCGGUGAAGCCGGUAUCGAUUCUAGUAAAAUAGAAUUUUCUUCUCCCAGUCAUAUAAUUGCUUCAAAUUCAUCGUUGGAAUCUGGGUCGAAUCAUUCAAAUUCUCUCAUGGAGUCUAAUAGUCAGGAUUCAUCACUAAUUGAUUUAAAGCUAGGGAGGUUGGCUGAUGGCAAAGAAGCACAAAAUAGCAAGUUUUUGGAAGAGAGAUCGGUGGUAUCUUCAGCAAGCCCAACUUUUCAGGCAAAGAAAACUCGAACAAUGAAUUCACGCUCUCAGACUCCCUUUUGCCAGGUAUAUGGUUGUCACAAGGAUCUCAGCUCCUUAAAGGAUUACCACAAGAGGCAUAAAGUUUGUGAAGUACACUCAAAGACUCCGAAAGUUAUAGUUAAUGGCGUUGAGCAAAGGUUUUGUCAGCAGUGCAGCAGGUUUCAUUUGCUGGAUGAAUUCGAUGAUGGUAAACGUAGUUGUCGUAAGCGCCUAGCAGGCCACAACGAACGCAGAAGGAAACCUCAGUUUGGUUCUCUCUCUGGUAGACCCCAUAAGUUGCUGCAGCCAUACCAAGGUAUGAACAGUUCAUACUCUUGUUCUGCAUGGAUAAUGUGACUCAAUUUUAUAUAGCAGCUGGAUGAAUAGGUACAAGUUCCCUGCUUCUCAGGAAAAAGAAGAACAAGAAAGGAUUAAAAAACCCAGUUUUUAGUGGUCUUUUUGUAAAUCCAUUUUAAGGAAUAUAGUAUCAACUUUCCACACGAGGUAUUAUUAAUUUUUGCUUCUUAAAGGGCUAUGAUCUCAUUGCUAGAUAAAUCUUUAUGUUGACAGUGCUGCUAUUUUUGAUUGACUGACGUCUUUUUUUAUUUCUUCUAUAGUCAUUAAUAAAUGAUCUAAUUUAAUGCAUUUCAAUCUUGUAAUUAUUUCUUCAUAUGAAAAAAAUUUAAGAGUUAUAAAUUUUUUGGUACCUGUAAAUUUUUUGCUCUAUAGACAUGUUUCAAACUUGUGCUUUCUUUUCUGCAUUUAUCUUAGGGUGCAUUACUGUUGGAGUAGCUAUUGAGAAAAGCAAGUCCUUAAAUAAGUUAUUAGAGGGUAUUAAAAAUUGGUGUAAAAUUAAAUUUGAUAUGUUUCUGUCCUAAGAGCUCCCAAACAAGUAAAUAACUUUUUUCAAACUGUUUUUUUAACAUUUAAAAUUGCAUGUUUCCAGAAAGUAAUUUUUUGGUCUCCCAACCACAAUCCCAAGCAGAGACUCAGGCUUGCAAUAAGUGACAAUGGUAGACCUGGAUGAAAACUUUGUAUUAUCCAAAUCUUCCUUUCUUUUCACUGGUGUAUUUUUGUUGUGACUGGCAUUGUGUGAACCUGUAAUCUGAGACAUGCUGUUCCUAGGUUCGCAUCUUUAUUCCUGUUUGGGUUUCUGUCUGGCAUCCAACUUCAACAACUGGUCAGCUAGUAACUUGUUGACAAUUAAGUGACUAGUAAUUUGUGUUGACAAUUCAACAAAUGUUUACAACAAGUUAAAAUUUAAUGCAAAACAAUUUGAAAUUAGAAAGAAAAUAUAGGGCUGAAGCUGCAUUUGCCUUUCUCCUCAAUCUUGUAUAGGCUAAUAGAAUUGUUUUUCUGGGUAUUGGAAUUUAUUGAAUUUUGAUUGUAUCAUGCACCCCUACUAGAGUCCUGCUUAUGCAUCUGGGGGACUUUAUGGAGUUGAGUGAUCCUAUUCUAAAAACAACCGUCAUUAUGUUCGCAUGACUUUCAACUUGCAUUGUUGAACAUAUUUUCACUAUAUUACCUAAGAGGUAUGAAUUUGGCAGGCACCAAAUUUUUGGGCACUUCCUUGCCAAAGAAAGCAUCUUUUCUUUUCCCAAACAUACUUCCUGGUGGUAUUCUUUGUCCAGAGAGAUAUGAACAGACCAACUGCUACAAGCCUGUUAAAUUGGAAGAGAAAUUAAUCUACGGUACAAAUGGGCAGUUACUUUCAAAACCUUUUCUCCAUAUACAUGCUAAUGGGAUCCAAAACACUUCUGGAAUUUCACCAUCAGCAGCUGAAGACUUAACUAUUUUUAAUACUGCAUCAACUAUUCAUGAGUUAGCUGGGGUGUGUCAUUCCAGUCGUGCUCUCUCUCUUCUGUCAGCUGAAUCACAGGACUUGGGCCAUUCAGCAGGAAUUAUAAUGGCUAGGCCCUUCAUCAGUCAAGCCAAUCGUUCCCAUCACAGUGUGGGUAUUUCUGACAAACCUUUCGGGGUAGAAUCUUCAGAGAAGAAUAUGCCAAAUGUAUUUCAUUCAUAUGGAAUGAAUUCCAUUAAAGCUAAUCAUAUGGGAUCCUUCAUGGUUUCUUGUGCUGGUUAUGCUGCUGACCUUCAAGUUGAACCAGAUGGUUUUCUUCAAGAAUCGGACCUUUUGAAAGCCAAAUAUUGUGUUUCUGCUGAAAAUGGAUCUACUGUGGAUUUGCUUCAGUUGUCAUCACAUCUUCAGAGGGUGGAGCAACAGAGGAAUUCUGUGCAAGUGAAGCCUGAAAUUGAGGAUUUUUCCACUUUCCUUAGCACAUAUGGGGCAUGAAAGGAACAAGGUGUGUAAAUAACCAGCUUAAAUCUCUUGCUAAUUCUUUUAUGCUGGAAAUUGUCCAUUUUUCUUCAGGUGACCAAAUGUGGAAUCCUUUUCUUUAGAAAAUUAUUGAAAAAUAAAUGCUUAUUCAUGGUUGGUACCUCCAAAUUUCUAGCUGAAGUUACUUGAUGGUAACAUAGGAUAAACUGCAUACAAUAUGGGAAAUAACUAUGACUUGCCUGGAUCUUUGUUAAUUUUUAUUUGUUGAUCAAUGCAAAUCUUUCUCGAGUAAUAAUAAAUUCAAUGAUGUUGCUGGGUCAGAGGACCCAGUUGAAGGUAAGCUGCGUCCAAUGUGUAUGUAAACUGACUUCACUGGUGCAAUGGACAAAAGCCCAGACUUCAGAUAAGUUGAAACUUAAGAUACAAUUUCUAGUACAUUUCUUCACUGAUAAGUAUAUAACAGAAAUUAAUGAGUUUAACUACCGUUAAGUUCGUGUAAUUUCGAUACUGUUUUUUUCUGUAGAGAUCUCCAUUUUGCCCAUACUUGCUAUUGCAAAUCUGGUUCCUGGAUUGCUGAGUUAUACAACUCAGCAAACCAUCAAGAACCUUAAUUUUUGUUUAUCUAAAGCAGUUUGUGAAGGGGCAAUUUUGAAGAGACAAACUAAGGGGCAAAAUGACAAGGAGCAUUACUUCUUAUGAUGUAAAUUUCUUUAAAGGGCUGUCAAUUCUUUAUUCAGAAGAGCUAAUGCUUGAUCAACUAGAUGACCUUUCAUAUCUUUAGUCUUUAUAGGUUAAAUAUUCUGCUUCCUUUGUGUGGUGAAUGGAAUAUUAGUCCUGCUACAUAAUGACUUUUCUCUUCUGCAGUUCUUUACAGCCAUAUAAUAUAUAAAUUAACCCAAAAAUCUGGGAACUUUGAUCCCAUUGUAGCUCCAUGAAUGUUUGGAAAAGAGAGUUUUUCCCUGAAAUUCUUUUUCCAACUGAGGCAAAAGGGGAUUGGCCACUUCACCCACUCAUCAAAAGUUCCUCCUUUCCCUUACUUUUCUUUGUUCUUUUCUUAUUCUCUGUGAAUGGUGAGUUGUAAAAGGCAACACAAAUUCAAAAGUUGGGAAGAAUUCAGCCAUCAAUCCCCACUUAGAAAUUCUGUUUAUGCAACUUGGCAUAAACUAAGAUAAACCUUAUGCAUAAAUUAUGUUUUAGGGCGAUUAAUUACAUGCUUAAAGGUUUGUAAUAUUUGUAUAUGUGCAUAGGGCUCAGCAGAAUAUGUUAAAAAAAUUGAAAAACUGAAUUGAAUCAAUGCAAUUUUGUUUUUCAAUUCGAUUGAUUUAUUUUU
rnacentral:misc_RNA from 1 species